rnacentral:rRNA from 1 species
CCUACGGGUGGCAGCAGUGAGGAAUUUUGGUCAAUGGGCGCGAGCCUGAACCAGCCAAGUAGCGUGAAGGAUGACUGCCCUACGGGUUGUAAACUUCUUUUAUAAAGGAAUAAAGUGAGGCACGUGUGCCUUUUGGUAUGUACUUUAUUAAUAAGGAUCGGCUAACUCCGUGCCAGCAGCCGCGGUAAUACGGAGGAUCCGAGCGUUAUCCGGAUUUGUUGGGUUUAAAGGGAGCGUAGAUGGGUUGUUAAGUCAGUUGUGAAAGUUUGCGGCUCAACCGUAAAAUUGCAAUUGAUACUGGCAGCCUUGAGUACAGUUGGGGUAAGCGGAAUUCGUGGUGUAGCGGUGAAAUGCUUAGAUAUCACGAAGAACUCCGAUUGCGAAGGCAGUUUACUAAACUGCCACUGACAUUGAUGCUCGAAGGUGUGGGUAUCAAAAAGGAUUAGAUACCCGAGUAGUC